rnacentral:rRNA from 1 species
AUCUACAGCCAUACCCUGAACGCCCCUGAUCUCGUCUGAUCUCGGAAGCUAAGCAGGGUCAGGCCUGGUUAGUACUUGGACGGGAGAAC